rnacentral:rRNA from 1 species
CAAUAGCGUAUAUUAAAGUUGUUGCAGUUAAAAAGCUCGUAGUUGGAUUUCUGGUAGGAGUGACCGUUCCGAACUUGAUUGUUCGCGUAUUGUGUUUUCUCCAGCCAUCCUUGUGGAGAACUUUUCUUGCAUUAAUUUGUAGGGAUUGGGACCCGCAUCGUUUACUGUGAAAAAAUUAGAGUGUUUAAAGCAGGCAAUCGCUUGAAUACAUUAGCAUGGAAUAAUAAGAUAGGACUUUGGUACUAUUUUGUUGGUUUGCAUACCAAAUUAAUGAUCAACAGGAACAGUUUGAGGAUAUUCGUAUGAACAUGUCAGAGGUGAAAUUCUUGGAUUUACGAAAGAUGAACUUAUGCGAAAGCAUUUACCAAGGAUGUUUUCAUUGA